rfam:Dipodomys ordii contig_23221, whole genome shotgun sequence.
AUCCUUUCCGGUUCACAGUGUGAUGAUUGAGUUCUCAGGUGCUUGUGUGAUGUGUACCUCUCUCAAACCUUCUUAGGAUGUAAGCACAUUACCGGUCUGAGG